rnacentral:lncRNA from 1 species
GUUGUUACUAAGGCAGCAGAGUAGAAAGAUGAAGUGCAAGGACCUGGAAAUCAGACACACCUGGGUUCCUGGUGAGCUUCACUGCUUCCUGGUCUCUGAUAUCAGCUCUGCCCAAAUUUCAGCUGUCACAGAAUGAGUGAUCCUCAUAGUAUAAUGGAAAUGCAUCAUCUCAGUUUCCCCAUGGCCUGAAUGUCCAUACAAAAUGAGAGCCAGUAGAGAAAAACAGAGGACGUGAGGAGUUUUUAAAAAUUGAGGAAAAGUGGAAGGAAAAGUAAGGAUGAAGGUGAAGAUGAAGGAAUAUGUCAGAGAUGCUAGCACUGGCAUCCCCCACCACACAGUACCAUGUACUGCUAAAGAACUCUAGAACAUACAGGGUGUAGACGGCAGUCUUCUUGGGGAAAAAGAGGCUUCAGGAUUGCAAGAUUUCAGCUACUGUCUCUCCUCGGAGCAGGAUUCCAUCUUUUCCAUGGCUGGGGCCCUUGACACAUGUCACUGUGCACUGCUCUUCUCGCUGGGAAAAGGAAACUGAGGCCCAGAGAGGGCAAGUGAAUUUCCCAAGAGUGUCCAGAUGAUACGGAGCUGAGCUGGAAAGUGAGCCUGGAUCUCUCUGGUUCUGAAAGCUUUGCUCGAAAGCACAGGAUGACACCUCCAUUCAAUCAAUAAGCACUGAGACCCUUCCAUGGACUCAGCAGGUCCUGCUGUCCCUGAAGGUUGACACUCUCAUUUCAAACCACAGCGAGAACCCCAAAAGGAAACAGUGCAAGGAAAAUAAUGUGAUAUUUGAGAGGCAGCAUGGAUUAUUGGGGACAGGGUUCAUGUCCCUUCUCUCCCACACACGUGGCAUGAUGUUAAGCGGGUCACCUCACCUCUCCAGGGUUGUUUCCUCAACUGAGAAAAUGAGGGGGUUGAGAUGAACGCCAGCCCUGGGGUGCUCAAUGCUGCAGUCUAGGGUGGUGUGGACUGGAAUCAGAAUUCUUUCUCCUCCGCUCUGGGUGCUGACACAUGAUCUCUGGCUCUCACUCCCCACCCCUAAUCUUGCCCAUCUGAGUUUCAGGUUAUUUUUUCCUUCCUCCUGCUCUUCAAUUUCCUUAUUGAGGAAGCUCUUUCCUGCUGCCUCUGUCCCCGCUGGAGCUGUUUGAUCCAGUAGAGCCAGUCGAAGCCAAGGGGACCCUGACUUGAAUCUUGCUUUCUGACAUGCUGGCUGUGGCUUGCUUGGGACCUGAAUAAGAGCUUGCUUACUCCCGGUGUUCACCACAGCGGAACCAUGGGUGCAGAAAUGUAAUUCUCAACCAGCCCAGUUUAAUCAGCGAAAGACAAUAGAGCUUGCAGGCGGUGUCAUGCUGAGUAUCUGAACACACCAUGGCUGCUGUCGCCCUUUUCAUUAAAAUGAUUGAAAAUGUAUUUCUAAACAGAAGUGAGGGUCCCUGUCUAAAUCAAGCCGCUGUAUUGGGCUUAUUGUCCCGAUCUGAAGUGCUUCAGCUUCUAGUGCUUCUCAAUAGAAGUUCAUUAUUACAACGAUAAUAACAACUGUAUAGAUACACAGAAAAGAAGUUCCCAUUUCAUAAGGAAAAAAGAAACUCAUUCAAACCAAGAGAGAAUGAAAAUUGCUCUUGUUCAGCAGCUCUACAAUUCCUGCUUUCCCUUUCUGCUGGAAAGGAAGUUGAAUUUAAAAGCUUAUCUUGGUUCGAUUUUCUUUUUCCCUAAACCAAAAUAGAAUAGCUAUUUAGCUUGAAAAUUUGUAAGAGCUCAAGUCAAUUGGUUAACCAAACACACACACACACACACACACACACUUACAUGCGCAUCUUAAUAUCCUCAUUAUAUAAAAUCUCAAUCACCAAAAAUGACCCCCAAAAUUAUAAGACUCCAAUAUAUGAUUGAGCAAAGGACAUAAACAGAUGGUUCAUAAGGAGGAAAGACACAUGAUAAAAAAUAUGAAAAAAUUUUCAACACACAGAUAAUAAAAGAAAUUCAGAUGAUAACGAGAUAUUGUAGGUGCUAAUCAAAGUAUCAAAGAUUUUAAAAAUUAUAGCAAAAGAGUUCCUUGCUUUUGUGUAAUGAGUUCCCAGAUAAUAUGUGAAAUUCACUCAUCCUCUUCCAAAUCAACAUUACUGUCUGUGAAAUGAACAAUACAACCAAGCACACAGAUCCUAGCCUCUGCUGGGAAAAUCCCGUGUAAAUCCACCAUCCUUUUUGUUUCUUAAGUUCCUCCUUGGUAAAAAGUUGUUUGGCUCAUGCCUGUAAUCCCAGCACUUUGGGAGGCCGAGGCAGGCAGAUCACCUGAAGUCAGGAGCUCGAGACCAGCCUGGCCAACAGGGUGAAACCCCAUCUUUACUAAAAAUACAAAAAUUAGCUGGGCGUGGUGGCGAAUGCUUGUGAUCCCAGCUACUUGGGAGGCUGAAGCAGGAGAAUCACUUGAACCCGGGAGGCAGAGGUUGCAGUGAGCCGAGAUCGCGCCACUGCACUCCAGCCUGGGCAGAAGAGUGACACUCCAUCUCAAAAAAAAAAAAAAAAUGUUGUUUGUGUUCAGAUUCUGAAAUUUCACAAUUCUCCCCAGGUACUGUUUUUCUUUGCCCCAAAGCCUUUAAGUCUUCGUUGAUGGAUAUGUAGACACCUAAUAAGUAUUUGACCUGAAAGUGUCUUUCAAAGCAUAGAAUUCAGAUGGUGAUUUUACAAAUGAAGAGAGUGAGGCUCACACAUUCUGAAGGGGGGAGUCAGGCUUUUUACCAUAAAAGUUUUUCCUUGGGGUAAUGGUCAAUAUCCACCAAAAUCCAGGUGGCACAUGCUUGAUACCCUUCUGAAAAGACUUAGUCUACUUCACUACUGGUUUUAGCAGGGUAGAGCCAGGGUCUCAGAACACAAUGAGCUGCUCAGGUGAAAGAAGAUCACACUAGGAUUUCUGCUUUCUAAUGCACCAUCCUUUUUAAAUUUUCAUUUUUCUUACUGUUAUAAUGUAUAGGUUAGUAGAGCACUUUACUUCUUGGGGAUACAUAAUUAAAGUUGUUUUGCUGGUAGGAUAGUGUUAUCAAAAAUUUGCAGGCAGCUGGAAUAGUGAGAUGUGAAUGUGUCUGAUCUCGUGCAAUUCAGGAAGCAGGGCCUUCAGAGUGAAGGGAGGAAGGAAAGCUGGCUGUGGUCAGAGGAGAUGACCAGCAGAGCUCCUAAUAGAGGGCAAGAGUCACCUCCUCACCCCACAGGCUGCAUUGAGACUAAGGCAACUGGAAAGUUCAACUGAAUCACAAGGGCGUGCUGACAUGCUGGGGAAAAGCCAAAAUUUUUAAAGGUCAUCUUGCCAGAAAAGUGGCUGCUGCUUAGGUCCUGUCCUGGCACCCUGGGCCCAGGAUCCCAGGACUCAGCUCAUGGGGAGCAGAGGGCUGUGGCAUGCCAAGUCAAAGGUCUCAUGGAGAUGGUUCCAAUUGGGAAUCAAUGGCAGAGAUGCCAAGACAAGCUAAGGGGCAUGGCAAUCUGAGGAUCCAAGCCACCUAGCACAGACACAGGGACAGGCAAGGGAACUAGAGACCUUAGCAGCUUGUCAGAGGGGAAGCGGAAGGCAGCAGGGGCCCAGAAGCAAACUCCCUAUGUCAGAUAGAGGUGUGUGCAGUGAAAAUGAAGGGGGAACCAGAACCCCUUGCAGGAAAUGUCCAGUGGAACUCCAUGAAGUCCCUCGAGUCGUCUUUGAACCGCUGAGCCAGGUAUUAGAGGACCCACAGCACACUUCUGAGCCUCGUUUCUGUCUCUCUUACCUACCACAAACUCUGGACAAUCAGCUCGCACAUUUGUUCCUUUAUUCCCAAGGAGAACAUGAGGAAAGGACGUAGAUAUCACCCAAAUGUAUAAUUUACCAGGUAAGAAAAGCCCAAUGGCUUUCUAAUUAUUUCUGGAUGUCCCAGCAGCCUCUGUCAGGAGUGCAGGUGUAAGUAGCCUCAUGUGCCUUUGCUCCGGCCUCCUUGUGGGAGUCCAGUACCCCAACCCCAUCUUGGGAGAUGCCGCUGGUCCAACCUCAGGAUCUCCUAAUGGAGUCAAGAGGUAAGGCUGAUUUGAAUUCACCCUUCUUCUCCUUAAAGCUAGUGCAACUCACAGAAAAUUGAGAGCCAAAUGGGAAACAAACUGUCAGUUUUCCUAACGGGUAGGCAGGUGUGUCUUAACCCCCAAGGCUUUCUGGGGGAGCCAGAGAGGAGAAAGUGACUUAGACCUGAGGACAAAGGAGAUCCACCUGCUUCUCUAAUUGUAGACCUUAAGCCUGCCUGUCACAUGGACUGUAGCGUACUGAGCACAGGGGUGGUGCCGGGCAGGUACAGCUCCCAGCACUCUGCUGUGGACAUCCUAACUCGCUAGAAGUUGACUCAGUCACAAACUAUCUAAGUUUAUAGCUGAAGCUCUAGCACCUGUUCUAGAACAGGAGAAUCUGAAGGAGGAGAUGAACUGAAUUUAGCACUGAUUUUCUUUAAAAAUAUUUAUAGAAACUAUAACAUUUCUGAGUUAUCUAGAAAUGUUAUUUUUGUUUAGUUUGGCUUUCUUUUUUUUUGCUUUCAUCUGAAAAUUAAACAUUUUGAGGUAAUUGUAGAUUCACAUGCACUUGUAAGAAAUAAUACAGGGAGAUCCCUCUAUCUUUCACCCAGUUCCUCCAACUUGGUAGUAUCUUGCCAAACCAUUGUACUAUUUCAUACCAGGACAUUGACAUUGAUACCAUCAAAAUACAGACAAUUUCCUUGGCUACAAGAGUCCUCCACAUCCACUUCCCUCCUGCACCCACCCCUUCCUUAAUCCUUGGCAACCACUGUUCUCCAUAUCUAUAAUUUUGUCUUUGCAGGAAUGUUAUAUAAAUGGGAUUAUACAGUAUGUAAUCUUUUGGGAUUGCACUGUUUUUUUAUUUGCAGCAUAAUCCUCUGAAAGUUGUUGCAUGUAUCAAUAGCUUUUUAAUCUUUAUUGCUGAAUGGUAUUCCAGGGUAUGGCGUACUACAGUUUGUUUAACCAUCCACCUGUUGAAGGAUAUCUGGGCCGCUUCCAGUUUGGGCAAUUGCAAGAUGCUACAGACAUUGAUAUACAGAUUUCCAAAAGACCUUGGCUCAGGUGUCACUUUUGCAGAAAAGCAUUUACUGACUGUUGACUUGGCCAAAUCCCUGUGCUGUGUUUCCUAGUACGGUAAAUCAACUGUAUCCAGUAGUGGGACAGAUGCAGCAUGAAAGAAGAAAGUUACAAUUGCUUUAUCUGAUGCUGUCACUCAUGCCUGGUGUUGAGAGGCGCACAUUUUAAAAAGUCUAAUAGCUCCGACAUAUCUAGGAAACAGAUGGGAAACAAAUGAAGCAUUGAUGGAUUCGCAAAUUCCAGUUCUUUGAUAUUUGUCUGCCCAGGAAUGGGUGGGACAGAGAAAUGUAAGGGAAUAAUGAGGAUACGGGUGGGGAAAGGCUUGCAAUUUUUCCCGUUCUUCUUUGGAUAUGGACUGAAGGAAGGAUGUGGGGAGGAGGUGUUUAUCUUUUGCUUGUACUCUGAACUUUUCCAAAGUUACUGCAUUCCUUGGGAUAUAAAACUGUAAUCAAGAGUCUCUAAUGGAUAACUGCAAUUAUGCAUUGAGUCAUUCAACAAAUACACAUUAAUACUGACUAAAUUAAGCUCGAAUGGAACUUCAGGGCAAAAGAACAGAGAAAAUAAAAUACCACUAGAGAAGGGAUCUGUGCUCUUUCCUGGACUUAAAUCUCCCACAGCCAGCACGUUUGACAGUUAAACUAGUCAAGCAAAUUAGCACAGGCCCAGAGGAUGAAAUCAAGGUGGGGGCAGGUAAGGUUCACAUAAUAAACACUCUCCCUAGACCCUGGACCUAGGGACAAUACUUCAGGAAGAAUUUUUUUUAUUAAUCUCAUUUAUUCAUUCAUGUAUUCACCAAGUAGUUAUUGAAUACCUCCAUGUGCCAGUCACCUUCAUAGGCUCUGGGAACACAGAGACAAAUGGGGUGCAGCUUUUGCCUUCGAGGACCGCCUGAUAAUGGAGGAGCAUGCUUGUUGUACUGUCCCCACACUUCUUUUUUUUUUAAUUUUACUUUAUGUUCCCGGAUACAUGUGCAGAACUUGCAGGUUUGUUACACGGUAUACGUGUGCCAUGGUGGUUUGCUGCACCUUUUAACCUGUCAUCUAAGUUCUCUCCCCUCGCCUCCCGCCCCCCAACAGGCCCCGGUGUGUUUUUGUUCUUCUCCCUGUGUCCAUGUGUUCUCAUUGUUCAAGCCCCAACUUAUGAGUGAGAACAUGUGGUGUUUGGUUUUCUGUUCCUGUAUUAGUUUGCUGAGGAUGACGACUUUCAGCUCCAUCCAUGUGCCUGCAAAGGACAUGAUCUUGUCCCUUUUUAUGGCUGCAUAGUACGCCCCCUGCACUUCUAAUAAAGAUGGCGCCAGGAAGGAAAGCCCAGUUUGCCUCAUUCCAGAAUGCCCCAACUUCUGCCAAAGAGGAGGUUUCCUCCAUUCACCUGUCCAUUUGGAACACAAUGAAAAUACAGAAUAUGCAGAAUAUGCAGAAAAUACAGAAUAUACAGAAAUAGAUGUAUAUGAAUAUACAUCUAUUUAAGAAAAAUUCACAAGGCCCCAAACUACUCUAGCUUUCCUAGGAAGUAGAGAAGACCCCCUCAAAAAAAAACACUGGCAAACUGAGCCUGCUAUUGGGGAAGGAAAUUCAAGACCAGGAAGGUCAGGACAUGUAUUCAUUAAAUGGCUAUAACACCUCAAUCCAAAUGCAGAGAAAUCUGAUGUACACGCUCCAAGAUAAGCAUCUCUAAGGUACAGUCAGUGGUCAAUUUUUCAACAUUUAUUUAAUAUCUUGCUAUAUUUAUGGCAUCGUGAAAUAGAUGCUGUAUUCCUUCUCUGAAAAUUUUCAAUUGAGGUGGGGACAUGAAUAAAUGUAUUAACCCAUUUAUGCCGGAGGUUGCAAUUUUUGUUUUCUGAAAAAUCAGACCUUGGUGAUGACCUUGAGCGGUAGGAUAUAAAAACUCCCAAAAGCCUAGCGUUUUAAUAAUGGAACACUAGGCAUAAGUAGCUUAAAACAGCAUAGAAAAGUCAUGUAAACUAUACAACAGUCAUGUAGAUAUGGUGCAUAUGGAGACACAGGGUUCCUGGGAAGGGCAAACCAUGGUACAGAGUUUACCAGGGAAGAGUUCCUAGGAGAAAUGAGCUUGGAACUGGAUGUUGGAAGAUCAUCACCAUGUGUGGUGGGGCAAGUCUUCAGCCAAACUUCCCUGGGGCUUUUUUUACUCAUCAAAAAAUGAGUACAAUGCACACAGAUUACAUGAAUUUUGUAAGGAUAAAAUAUGACAACAUUAGUAUGGCAUCCAUGCACAUAGGAGGCACUAAUGAAUAUCACAUUCCUUUCCCUUUUCUAUUUUAUGCUUUCCAUACUUGAUAUUAUUUAAUGAUAGAAAUGUUGAUGAAAAUAAGGAAUAGUACACCUCUCACACUUUCUAUAUUGAGCAUGCAUUACUCUUAACACAGAAAAAAUAAAGCACAAGAUUAAAAUAGUGUUUUAUUUGUAGAGUUUUGGUCUGAAAGAAGUUAACAGGUCCUUAGUAGUCACUUCACAGCAGAAAAUCAAAUGAGGGCUUCCCAGCCACACAGAAAUGUUAUUUUAAUCUGAUGUUCAGUGCCCUUCAGUUGCUAGUUAGACCCGCUUAGACUGAAACAGAUGCCACAAAUGCAAUGCUAUGUUCACCACCCAGUCGCUUUCCAAACACAGGGUAAGGAUUCAGGUCACUGUCCCCCAUCGACAAAAGAGCUUGAGCAUCACUGUCAUUGCUUCAUGCAGUCACAGCCCCGCUGGGAGGGACAGCCAUGACCCAGGCAGGUCUUGCCGGUAUCGGUGGUCAGAGACCAGGGACAGAAGAUGCACUGCCUGGAGUUGUCUUCUCCCAGGCAGCGUGCAUGGCUGCCUUGCAAGCACAGGCUUGCCCCAUCCGAAGCUCCAUCUUUGCUCAGGCUCAGAGAGGAAAAAUUUGCCAGCUGCGAGUGAAAAAUGUUCAGACCUCGAAAUCUUUCUGCAGCCCAUACUGGGUCACACUUGCAAUGCCCAAUACAAUUUUUGGCUAAGAAAUGCUUGUAAUUCAGAGAUAAACCUACGAUUGCAGGUUAUAUCACGGCGAGGAAAAAUUUGCUUUCCAGAGAAAUAUCACUUAUCUCAGACUUUUUAAUUCCUCUGAAAAAAAUAGGGGUUUAAGAAAUGGUGGCUCAGCUAUGAGUUCCAUCUCCGGUUACUAAGGCUUAUGUUCUGUUACAGGCUCAAUUUUCCUCCCUAAAAAUGACAUUGAAGUCCUAACCCGCAGUACUUCAGAAUGAUUACAUUCUGGUGACAUCUCUUCAGAAACAGGGUCUUCUUAGAGCCACACCCUUGGGACUGCAGCCCUGUGAAGACUGAGGUUCUGACGAAAGUCAAGAAAAAUCUGCAUUGCAACUCUUCGAAGAGAAGAAUGUGACAUCUUGGUAAGUACAGUCAAUAGCUCUGUCAUUUUUUAAAAAGUGUGUUCUUAAAAUGAUUUUUAAUAAGAGUAACAUUGAACCACACUGGAGAAAAUAGGACAACGAAAACGAAAUGGAAACAAAAUCAUUCAUAAUUCUAGAACCCUAAUACAACUUCUCAAAUACAAAAAAAAGGAAUCAUUAAAUUGAAUAUUUUCAUACAGUUGAAUUUUAUGCAUUUAAAUGGAAAUUGUAAAGAAUUUUCCAUUUAGUUGUGAUGAAUUUCUGAUGAUAUAAUACAUAUUUAUAAUCUUUAAGCUGUACAACUUAAAUACAUAAAAUUUUUAACUGUCAACUAUAAAGCUGGGGGGACUCUUUAUGUAAAUAUUUAGUAAACAUGUUUUCCUAAAGAAUCAGAAUAUUAGAUUCUGUGUACUGUGUGACCUGGGAAAGUAUGCUCAGAAGGAAAUACACCAAAAUACAGUGGGUGAAUUUUACUUUCUUCUUGAUAGUGUUUUAAAAUUUUUAGAAAUGUUUUGCAAUGUCUUAAAAGUGACCUUCUACCCAGAAUUUGGUUAAUGUUCAGUUUUAUUUCCUUCUUAUUUUUCUGAGUAUUUACUUUUUCAAUUCAGCUGAAACUUUUCAAGAAUACCAUGACCUUUCUCUCCUUUUAAAAAAAAAGUUUCAAACAGACAAUGUUAAAACAGAAGAAGUUUUGGAAAUCAACUACUUAAUCUAUUAUGAUAUGGAAACUGUAAACUAAAACUGUUCAUAUCCACUCCCCAAGAUUACAUCAAGAGUGGCAGGGCUGGGACACCAGAGUUUCCGGAAUGGCUCCUCAGGGCUCCAGCUGCAACAAACUCGCUGUGCCAAUGUGCAUGCAGUUCCUGAUUCUAAUCAAAUAAGUAUCAUAACCGAGUUCACCCGAAAUAGAGUAUACUGCACAGAAACUUAAUAAUGGUGUCGUUUUCCAGAGGCAGCUGCAUAAAUCACAGGAGACUGAAUACAGGAGAAGAUGUAAGAAUCCAGUCAGCUUCUAUCAAACCAGACAUAAAAGACAUUUGCAGAUAUGUAAAACAAUGCCACUCUUCACAUUGCAUUUUUAAAAAAUAUUAUUUCCCAGAAAAUAUAUCAUCUAUGUUAAUAUGGAAUGGGGUUUGUUAUUCUUAUUUUAAGUAAGGUAUUAUAUAAAUAUUUUUAAUGUCUCAGUUUUAAUUUCUAAUGAAGUCAAUAUCAAUAGAUGUAAUCUAUAUAAACCAAAGUUCUCCGGGGUCUUCAAGAGUGUAAAGGAGUCCUGAGAUCAAAAGGGAUGAAAACCUCUGCCCUACCCUGGCCACCUAAGGGGCUGAAGCCCUCCAGGAGCAGUGCUCCCGGCUCUUGCUGCUGCCCCAGAGCUGAGGGUUUUGGAGCACUGGUGCCCUACAAAACGGAGAGACUGGAAGGAGUUUUCUGGGUCAUGAGGUUGGAACUGCUGGCAGAAGAUCACAGCAUAACUUUCUUCUGGGUUAUAGGAAGAAAUAUAUAAGUAGA